AUGGCAAAUGAGAUCAUUCUGCGCCUCGACGUUGUCCAGGAACGCAGACAACUCUCGGGCGCAGAGCUGCAGCUGCGGAGACAGCUUAAGCUGCGCGUUCUCGGCCUCGCUGCGAUCGAUAGGGCCCGAAAGCGGCAAGCGUCGCAGAUCUCCUGGCUACGUGCGGGCGAUGCCAGGACGUCGUUUUCCCAGGCAAAAAUCAACUCCAGGUGACAGAAAAACUUUGUCCAUGCCCUCCACAGUGGUCGUGCCAUCGCCACCUCCCAUGAAGACAAGGAACAUAUCAUCCAUGAGCACUUCAGCUCCACCUUAGGGUCAGCGACGCCGCGUAGCUGCACCAUCAACUGGGACGCUGUCCGUCUGUCAACCCUGCCCGCGGCCGGCCUCGACAACCCAUUUACCGAA
rnacentral:rRNA from 1 species